UACGUAGGUGGCAAGCGUUGUUCGGAAUUAUUGGGCGUAAAGGGCGCGUAGGCGGCCUGUUAAGUCGGUUGUGAAAGCCCGGGGCUCAACCCCGGAAAGUCGACCGAUACUGGCAAGCUAGAGUACAGAAGAGGUAGCUGGAAUUCCCGGUGUAGCGGUGAAAUGCGUAGAGAUCGGGAGGAACACCGGUGGCGAAGGCGGGUCUCUGGGCAUCUCCUGACGCUGAGGCGCGAAAGCGUGGGGAGCAAACGGG
rnacentral:rRNA from 1 species